rnacentral:rRNA from 1 species
UACGGAGGAUCCAAGCGUUAUCUGGAAUCAUUGGGUUUAAAGGGUCCGUAGGCGGUUUAAUAAGUCAGUGGUGAAAGCCCAUCGCUCAACGGUGGAACGGCCAUUGAUACUGUUAAACUUGAAUUAUUAGGAAGUAACUAGAGUAUGUAGUGUAGCGGUGAAAUGCUUAGAGAUUACAUGGAAUACCAAUGGCGAAGGCAGGUUACUGGUAAUGGAUUGACGCUGAGGGACGAAAGCGUGGGGAGCGAACAGG